rnacentral:sRNA from 1 species
GCCAGGUAUGGUGGCGCAUGCCUAUAAUCCCAGCAGCAUGGGAGGCUGAGGCAGGAGGAUCACGAGUUCAAAGCCAGCCUCAGCAAUGGUGAGGUGCUAAGCAACAGAGUGAGACCCUGUCUCUA